rnacentral:rRNA from 1 species
GACGAAGGAUGCAAGCGUUAUCCGGAUUCAUUGGGUUUAAAGGGUGCGUAGGCGGACUUGUAAGUCAGUGGUGAAAUCUCUCAGCUUAACUGAGAAACUGCCAUUGAUACUGCAGGUCUAGAGUAUAGAUGACGUUGGCGGAAUAUGACAUGUAGUGGUGAAAUACUUAGAUAUGUCAUAGAACACCGAUUGCGAAGGCAGCUAACGAAACUAUAACUGACGCUGAGGCGCGAAAGCGUGGGGAGCGAUCCGG